AAGCAUAGGGCAGCUGUGCACCGGCACCUGUCUCCCAGCUGUGUCUGCGGCUGGCACGUAGUGGACAGAGCUUCAUGUUUGGGAGCUCCUCGGACCGGGUCGUGCUUUCUGCGUCGUUGUUUAGACAAGUGCAGCUGUCUGCCUGCCGGUGCCAUCAUGUGUUUAUAACAGAGGGAAAUCCCACUUCAGGGCAGUGAUUCUCACAUGUCCUCAUCCUAUAGUGUCAGUAUAUCAACAAGAGCACGUCAGUAAAUGCUACAGCCCUACUUUAACCCACUCCACUUCUCUCCAGUUGUUUCUUCUUAUGCCAUUGCUACAGGACUGCGAGCAUGCAUUUCCAGCACACACGGGACUACGUGUCAUGCACCUCUUCCACCUGAUGUGUUACUCAUUAAGAGCGAUGGCCUUUACAGGGUGGCAGCCUGUGACAUUCUCCUUGACAUUACUGGGGUGUUGGAGCGAAUCGUGGCUCUGCCAUUGUUGUUAUUUCUCUGUUAGAGAGGCAAAGCAGGCACUCGGAGGUGCCCAGAUCGAGUUUCAGAUGUCAUGGCCUCAUAGCUGAUUUUGGAAGCGAGUUGCUCCUGUGGCGGCCUAUUUUACGUUGACUGCAGAAUGUACCUGAGAAUAAAAUGCGCAAAGCUUUUCAAGAAGCCUUGCACUAAGACGUGAAAUAUAUUUGCUGCACAUAUGUCUACCUGAGCGCGUCAUUCCCACGGUACUUCAUCCGUCUCAGCUGGGCAUUUAUUUUGAUUAAUUACAUGUGUGUUGCUCUCCAAGAGGAGAAGUGUGUGAAGAAAACUCUUUGUACAAUGAAGCUCAAUUAAGGCCGUGUUGAUCUGUUGUAAUUAAAUUGAGCUAUACACUGCUGUGUAGGGUACUGUGCUAACUUUCCCUUGAUCCUUUAAUUAAUCCUGUGUUGUAACAGGGGACCCUGGAACAGAUGUGUUGCUUAGAGGGCCUCUCUUUGCAGCUGUUGGAGUGUGCAUGGAAAAACAUUGAAGCAGGUCUCCACUGUAAUGACUCCUCACGGACGUCCAAUGAAGUCGUCCUCUGUUUUGUCAAACCUGCAAACACACACAGAGAGAUUUUGCCCUUUAAAUCUUUGGUUUUGGUUAGUGUUGUACAUGUCUGGAUCUUGAGUGUGUGGGAUGGAGAAAACAUUUCUCACACACUCUCUCCUGCAGAUGUAACAGCAGCUGAUUCAGAGCUGACAAAAAGUUCUCUUCUACUCUCCAUCCUUUGCUCGCCUCUUCUAUCAUCUUAUCAGAUCUCUUUUUUUUGUGUUUACUAAUUAAAUAAAAAAGGGCGUGAAGGCAGGAAUUUGUUAAAAGGGAUGAUAGCAUUCAUGGAAAGUUCUGUAAUAAACACAGAGAGAGUUCCUUUGCUCGUAAACUUGGUCGGUUGUGUAGACGGCAGACAGGUUCUUGCAGAGGCUCUGGUUCAAAUGGUGAGUGGAGCCUUUGAACCGUGUUAAGUUUGGCGUGCCCUUUGAUAGUCUUUCCCUUACUCGCUGUCAAAGCUCAAGACCUCUUUGACACCUUGAGUCCCACAGCUUUAUUUCAGCUGCAAUAAAUCUAUAGUGGCAGCUGUUAUGGUGUUUAACUCUGUUAAAGACCAGCUGCCUGACAAGAAGCCUAUUUGUUAAUACUGUCACUAAUGAUUGUUUUUGUUAAUAAUUAGCCUGUAAGAUUUUCAAAAAAUUGCUUAUUUUGCUAAAAUUGUGUAAAUGUCCCAUCACAGUUUCCCAGAAAACAGGGAGAUAUUUUAGCCAGCGCCAACACAUGAGGUCUGUUAGUGCUGCGGCAGCCCAGUGUUACAUAUACAUAUAUGUGAUUAUAUAUGUGAUUUUCUUCUUGGGGAUUAAGGCACUUAUCGCUGACAUAUGACUCAUUAGGGCAAAAUGACUUUCAUUUGAAUUGUCCAAACUCUGUUUUUGCCUUACGUAAUAUGUAAGCAUGCCAUACAAGGCCCGUUUGCACUUUUUCACAUCUGCGUUUUUUAUUUUUCUAGCAAAAUAUACAUAAAUGGAAGGUGGCUCAAGACUUUUGCACAGUUCUGUGCUCAAUCUUAAGUCUAUGGUUUGGUGCAGCAUUCGGACUUCAUUCUUAAUAUACAGAAAGAGUGUGUGAGGAUGGACGGGAAAAAGAGACUGAGCAUUGGCCAGCCAGAGUGAUUGAUUGGCUCGAAGGAGGGCAAAAAUAUACCAGUCAUGUAUUAUUGAUGUCCUAUAGUGAAGGAGCAGAGAUGUGCAGGAAAAAUAUCACAUGGAGGUUUUGGUUUGAGCUUGUGCAGUGUCAUCACCAAGUGGAAUUGAGAGAAAUGCCUCUACAAGUAGUUGCUUCUAUGAAGACCUCUUUGCAAACGCUCCAUGUAGGACUAUUAGCAGGUUAAAAGACACUUUCUCCUCUCUUUUCUGGCUUUGCUCAAGUGCACUCUGUGAAAACAGUAAUACAAUACCUUUUGUUGCUCUGCAGAUGCUUUGUCAAGUCAUAGAAACAAAACAAAACCUGAUGAAGUCAAAGGGGAAUCACCAGGCUUAUUUUAGCAGUCAUCUGCAGGAUAAAAAUGACCUCUAAAUAUGUAACUCAUAUUUAAGUCCACCUGCCUUUCUUCUUUGCUCCCAACCUAAUUACAAUAACUGCUUGAAAGCUUUUUUUUAUUUGUAAAGAUGCAAAGAUGUCAAAUUUCCACAUUAGCUUACAAAAUAUCCAGUCAAGCACAAAAAGUGAAGGUGUGGACUUUACUAACAAGGAAAGACAGGUGAGAGAAAUUAUGGAGAAGUAUUCGUAGGCCUUUCAAAGGCCUCUCCUGCUUUACCGUUCCUUUUUAAAAAACAAUGUAACCCUUUUAAGAUGACUUUCUUCUAACCCACAUUACAUUACAUCUGAAGGGAGCUCACUUUACUCUUGCAAAUGUUAAUGUUUCUAAAGAAAUGAUCGUUAAUCUAUCAGAUCUGUAAACAAUCAUUUCCAAAGCAAGCUUAAUCUUUGUCAGAUGAACCACUGAGACUCCACGCCAUGUAUGAAUAUCUUUACUUCAACCUUUUAUGGCACAAGCAUCAGUGAUGGUGUGUGUUUAUGAAAGCUUGAGCCUAAAGCCACAUUAUUUAUAGAUGUUAAGGGAGAUACGGCCUAAUGCUCUCCAUAACCUCUCCACCGAUGUUUACCCAGAGCGCCUGUGUGGCUUUAGUUAAUUUUUCACACAUCUUUUCUAUAAACAGAGCAGCUCCACACCGAAUGCAUCUCGCAAGCUUUUUCAGCUAAAGGUGAAUUGCCUUUGUGACAUUAUUAAACUCAUUUAGCCCAGACAGCUUGUUGAUUGAAUGUGCUCCCUCUAUCCCGUCGACUCUUGCAGUUUUGCCUCCUUCUGAAGCCACUUUGAGCCAGCUAAUCUACUUUCUCACCUGGCUCAGGGAAACCGCGUGGUCCUUUUUUCCCCCAAGUUUUCAACCACGCGACACAAAAUCCGCUAAAAUCGCCGCCCUCCAAAGAAGCACUGACGCGUUUGAUGCUGGACCUUUUUUUAUUAUUAAUAGUUUGAGUAAUGCUGGAAAAUAGCUUUUUGUUGGUUGUUUGCGUUUUUAGCUUGCACACAAAAGUGUUUUUUAUUGAUGACUAAGGAAGAGAAAAAGAAAGGUGAGAGGGAAGUCUCACCAGAGCGAAGUGCCAUCGUGAAAUGGUGUGGGGAGAGAGCUACGCUGCACUUUUAACCUGCUCGCGGCUGCAGAUUAGAUGCUUGGUGUUCGUUUAGUGCUGCUUUUGUUUCAAUCAUUUCACCUCAGCAUGUUGUGCAAAUUCUGCUCCAUUAGGAAUAUCUGUAUAAGGAUCUAAUAUAAGAAUGUCUCCUCCUUCACUCUGUCCGUGUCUCCUUUCAUGCUUCCCUUUAUUCCUGUGCCAACAACAUCUUAUUUGCAGCACUGGCCUGUCUGCUAAAUGACUUCCCCUCCCUCACGUCUUCAUCAUCUCUUUUCCUCCUUUCUGUGUUUGCUUAAAUGGGAAGGAUACAUAUGUAAAUACACAAAUACGAGUCAAUAAUUCAAGACAUUUGUCAGUUAAUUAAUGAAACUUCUUGUGUUUAUAACUGACUUCCUGUCUCAUGUGACAGCUUAAUGUUUUUCUUUAACACGAUAAAGUAAAAGUGAUUAUCUUUUGGAUUUUGCCCAGAAAUGAUGAUUUUCUCUAUUUUCUGACAUUUUACAAACAAUCAUAAUCUGAUUGCCACUCGAAUCAUUCGAUGAACGGUGAAAUUUGUCACCUUUUAGCAAAACAUGGAAGAUUUUGAAAUAACCUUCAUCGAUGAUGUAUGAAGGUGAGGCUUUCUUCUUCUAUUGUUUUCUGUCUUGUGUUUAGACUCUAGCCCCCCUAAAACGCGGCUUCUGCUGUGCUUCUCUGAAAGAGCAUCUUUUGCAUUUCCUCUGAUUUGAUUGAAGGAGGAACCAAAAGCCAUCUGAGCUGCUAAUCAGAUUAAGCCCAGAGUAACUUCAUUGGGCAGGAACUCGGAGAACAUGAUUUUGUCUGCUUUGUGUUCUUGAUAUUUUUAAGGCUGUUUUGGGAAAAUGCAAGUGGUCAUUUCAACUGGAGAUCAGUCUGAUCUGGUGUGGCCUGGUUUCCUGUAAGAACAACAGUUUGUCAUCUGGACUGUUUAAAGAAGAUAUUGUGCCUUAUACAUGAGAAGCUGUAAUCAAAACAUCAGUCCUGCAUUUGCAAAGUUGUCGUUUCUGCAGGCCUCCAAAUCUGCUGUGAGAGGCGAAUCCUCCAUGGCCAUAUUUAAAAUUUUUAUUUUGAAGAAUUGAGAUGGAACAAUCCACGUGACACUUUAAGAACGUGCUGCCGCGUUACCCGAUGUUGACCUUCCAUGCUUUAAAGGUUACGAGGUCUUCCCCAGCCCUUUUACACCUAGCCCACGUGCACCUCGGCUUCUCUGAAGUUCUCAUGUCAUGUGUCCUGACGUCUCUUUCAAAGGCCUGCCACAUUCCGGAGCCACUGCUUUAACCUCCUUGG